CCUAACAUGGGUCGUGUAGAAAUAGCUAUUGAAGGGUUAUACGGAACUGUUUGUGAUAAUCUGUUCGACUUUCCUACUGCAGAUAUCAUUUGUAAAUCGUAUAAUUCUAGCUUGCACGCGGCCGUUAUCAUCCCCGGGGCUAAGUUCGGCGAAGGAUCUGGCCCAGUUCACGUUGACAGACUGACUUGUCUUUAUGGAUACACCAAAAUUGAACAGUGCAAGUACUCGAAAAAUGGCCAGUGCAGUCACAGCCGAGAUGUGUCAGUGCUUUGUAGCGAAUGUGAACGUAACAGAACUCACUUGAUCUACACGGAUACAGGUCUAUUCGUUGACUGCAAGUAUAACCCCAGUUACGUUGUUUAUCUACCUGUGACAUGCAGGGAUCGUGAAUGGAACAUUACGGGAUCCUGUCUGA